UAUGAUGGGUUUUUGAUUGGGGGGAGGUGUCCGGGAGGGAAUGAUCAGGGAAUUAGAUAGGUCAGUUAAUGAUUAGGGGUGGGGUCACGAGAGUGAGCUCUACAGCGUUUGUCUUGUCAGAGAGCUGAGAAGAGUAGUGUUGAACUUAGAGCGAGUGUAUUUAUUUAACUUGUUUUUAUUUAUUUAUUAUUAAAUCGUAGAGUUAAUUCUAAGUAGUGUUCAGUAGUUUGUGGUUUUAUUUAGAGACACUUCCUACUGCCCGUUGUCUAGGCUGUACAUUGACAGGUAAACCUAAAAAACAUAUACCUCCGGUCUCCGCUUCCUUGGGAAAAAGUUCCACGAUGCCACACUGGCGUCAAGAAGCGAGAUGGUAAAAACCUCCGCCUGUCGUCUAACUAAGCCACGAGGAUGGCAAAUUGCCUGGAGCAGAGGACGCGACCCGACAUAGGCUGGACUACCGAGGGAGAGAAAAUACAGGAGGGUGUUAGCGGGCCAGCGAUAUCCGGCACCAACCUCUCCAACCUUUCAGUAGUUUCUGACGGUUGCGCUGGUGUCGGGCACAUGUCUACCUCAGAAGUACUUCAGUGUACUGGUCUUCAAGAAGAUUGAUCUCUGCUGGCUUCAUCAUUCCAAAGGCCCAUUUCCAUUACCCACAGGUGAAGUCUGUGCCGUGCUCCUGGGGUGAGCCACCCUAAAUCUGGAGGAGCUGAACACGCAGCGCCAGGUGAGGGGUGGGGAUCCUCACGGGUAUGCAAAGAGAGUGAUCUUUCAGCCUGGGUUUCUGGGGGGGCUGUCGGUAAACUUGAAGGAGCUGAACACGCAGCGUCAGGUUAAUCUAGAGACCCCCAGGAUCAGUCAGGGUUGAGGUCAUCAGGGUCAAACCUUUCCUUGCCAGUGAUUUGACGGCCACUGGGAGGAGACAAGACGUAGACGUUGGACCCACCAAAUAACUGUCAACGUAGCUAAAGCUCAUUCACCAGGACAGAGUCCCUCCCCACCGUCGCUGACGACCACUGGGGGGGGAAGCGAAACGCAGACGACGUGCUGAAUAAAGGCCCCUACCAUGGUGUGGUUGACUUAGUU
rnacentral:lncRNA from 1 species